rnacentral:lncRNA from 1 species
GCCUUUCUGGAAUAUUCCCCAGCUAUUUGGCCAGGAGAGGAGCCCGCAGCUCCCAGGACAGUCUUUCCCCAGCAGCUCUGUCUCCUCACCUCAUCACACACCCCCAAAGUCUCUUCUCCACCCUCAUCCUUGUGGAGGGGGGGGGCCCACUUUCCAGACGACUUCUGUCCUGGCCCUUCCACACCGCCCCUGUCCCUCACCCCACUGUCACCUGCAUGCCCUUCCCACACUGCUACUCUUCCUGGGCCUCACAUCCACCACCUGCAGGAGCCCUGUAUUAACGGGGGCCCUUCCGCCAGGCCAGCUGGUGGCUUCGCGCACCUGGGGAGGCUCAGGGCACAAGGCUCACCUCCGGUGUGCUUUGACCAAGAGCGAGGAAAGACCUGUAGCGGGGGAGCUUGGACAGACCUCCUGGCUGCCCCAGGUAGUGUCCCCAGGGACCCGGCCACGUCUGCAUCCUGUGCCCAGGCUACUUGCUCCCUCUCUGCCUGGAAAGCCCCUCCCUCCCCAGUCCACCGCGGACCCUUUUUCCUGCUGGCCCAGAACUCACCAUCCCCACCACUGCAGCCCGUCACCCUCCCCUCGCCCCUUCAGGGUCUUCCUGGCCGAUACCCUUGUAUAUAUCCUUGGUGCCCUGGGGACCAUACUCCUGCUCAAGCACCCUCCUCAGAGAACCCAGAGCUCAGCUCAGCACCCAGGCUCUCUCACUGGUGGGAAAGGGAGGCUGGUCCUGCCUUGCCCUCAAGUCACCACCCCAUUUCUCCACUCCUUUCCACACAAAGUUCCUCAAAAGUCACAUCUGCCCUUGGUCUCCACCACCCUCGGCUUCCCUCAGGACUCCUGCCAGCCUCACCCCGCCCCACCAGGGCCGUCUGGAUAAGACCACCAGUGGUCAGCCUCUGGGCCCCACCGGCAGGCCAUCGUGGCCUCCUGGUUCACGGUGCCCCUUCUGUGUUCGCCUGGUUGUUCACACGCCUCCUGGCCUCAGGGGCAGAGGUCCUGGGGCCCAGGCCUCGGCCCCACCGCCCAUUGCCACCCGGUCCUGCGGGCACAUCUACCCGUGGCUCUGUACGCUGGCACUCACGGUCCAAAAUCAGAUUGCUCAUGCCCAGCACCCAAACCUGGGGCCCUCAGUUUCCCCUGCACCAUGGCUGA